UUCACAAUCAUUGAGUUGACUUAAUAUGUUAUUUGAACUUUCCCUUUCAGACAGACCACAGAACAUAGCCACACUCUGGGAUAUCUCCCCUGGUUGCCAAGAUCAAUACCACAUCAAGCCUAUGAACAAAUUUUAGUAUUAGGACUCACAAAUAUAUGGAAUGUAACAAAUUUCCAGCAGAGAAAAUUUUGGAAGAACUUUAUAAAAGAUAUAAUGAAGACUAUCAGACCAUGGGGCUUCAUUUUCUCACUUUUUUCAGUUUCCUUCUUCUUCCAGAUGCUCACAUUGACCUCAGGUGAGGAAGAGAUGAUGUCAAUGGAUCCCCAGGUGGGAGAGAUUAUGAGGAACGUCAUUAGCUUCUGGAUGGUAUCACAAGUAUUUAGUACAUCUGUAUUCCCUCACUGAUGAAUAUAUUAAGAAACAUGCCUUUCUAUGGAAGAUAAAUGGAAUCCUGGCAGUGACAAGCUCACUGGAAGUGGGUGUUUGUAUUUGUUAUUUGUGGACAAGACACAGUUGCUCAGGGUUUAUUUUCAAGGAAGAAUGGAUGAACUGGUUUGUUUGGAGUGUCAUGAUGAUCUUCCUCAUACUCUUAGGAAUAAUAACUUUGAAAGGUGGAUAUGGGUAUACUUUCUUUUUUAUACUGAUAUUUUCACUGGAUUUCAACAACAUUGAGAGCAUCGUCUUUGUACUUCCUACGAUACGGAUAGUUCUUUCUUUUCUUUUGUCUGAAACAUAAUUUAAUAAGAAAACUGCAGUAAAAUUCUCUUCUUCAAACUCUAAA